rnacentral:rRNA from 1 species
AUUGAACGCUGGCGGCAUGCUUUACACAUGCAAGUCGAACGGGGUGAGGGGGCAACCUCUCAUUCAGUGGCGAACGGGUGAGUAAUACAUCGGAACGUACCCCGUAGUGGGGAGUAACUCGGCGAAAGCCGUGCUAAUACCGCAUAUGCUCUACGGAGGAAAGCAGGGGACCGCAAGGCCUUGUGCUAUGGGAGCGGCCCGAUGUCCGAUUAGCUAGUUGGUGAGGUAANGGCUCACCAAGGCGACGAUCGGUAGCUGGUCUGAGAGGAUGAUCAGCCACACUGGGACUGAGACACGGCCCAGACUCCUACGGGAGGCAGCAGUGGGAAUUUUGACAAUGGGGGCAACCCUGAUCCAGCCAUGCCGCGUG